rnacentral:lncRNA from 1 species
GGCAAACUUGUUUAAAUACACAAUUCAUCUUUCAGAAGGCUACACCUUUAGUGAGUUCAUUUUGUCAUUCACAAAGGUGCAGCAGGGAGGCACAAAGGUUAGAGACUUUCUCUACCAAAGAGGUAUUUAUAAGCUUUUAAGUAAAAAGAGAGAAAAAUAUUUUAUUAGAGGGAGGCUGCCAGGAGGGAAAUUGAUUCACUGACUCUGUGUGAGAAAGUAAAUAUGUCCCUUUCACCUUAAAUCGGUGCAUCAGGCUCUGGAAAGUCCAAUUAUCUUGACAAAAAUGAUUUAACAAAUAACUGAACAAUAGGAGUGGAAGGGAGAAGGCGGAGGGGAGAAGCUCUGGAGGUGGGCAAAGUUACUGCAGGAAUUGGGCCUUAGGCAGCAAGUGAUGAAAAACUUGGAGGUGGAACAGAAGACGGUCCUGGAGGACUUUGUACUACUGGAGAUUUAUUUGGCAGCAGAAUCCCUGUGUUUCACAUUUAAUAAUAAGAUGUAUUGUUACAGUUUCUGGCUUAGAAAUGAAUUCUAAACCAUUUCUGAAGUAUAGCUGAAGGCAUAUCUAUACAUUUUAAAAAAGAAGCAGCUAUUUUUUCUUAAGCUUUAUUGAAGUUAUAGUCUUGCCAAAUUGUUCUUAAACUCCCCAACCUGAGACGGUGAUUAAUGGGCUGAGAACAAAAGAGGCUGUAAGUAUUGUCAAUGCUAAGUGUUUCUUUGCUUUUAUUUACAAUUCUCUGGCUUGAAAGCUAGGUAUGCUGUUGUCUUAAUCAGACUGGUAAUUAAAGUGAUAUCUAAUGAUGUCUGCUUAACAAAGUCACCUGGAAGUAUUCUGGAUGGGCUGAGAACCAUAAUAGGGCUAGCUUGGGGUGAUUGUGUUGUGGGGAGGGAUUGUGCUGCCCCAGGUGUGGCUGGGGGCAGUAGCUGGUUUGGCCAUAAAUAGAUAGGGGGCUGGGGCCUCUGUUUUGCUGUUUGCAUGGCUACAUCUCAUGAAAGGUGCAGUAUUCUGCUACUGCCACCAGAAAAAGUGGUAGAACAGUUGCAUCUAGUGGAGUCAUUUGUCUUGAAACAAGGAACGUCUACCAUCCACCAAAUGUCCCAUUGACCUUCUACUGGGCUGGUAGAACAGCCACCUGCCUGGAAGCAUCUGAUAAAGGCCUUUUUCUUCUCCAUGCAUGCAGUUUGUUUCACACAAAUUACUGUAUAGUUUGCACUGGAAAUCUGCAGGCUGACUCCAGGGCAGGUGGGCUAUGCAGAGCACUCUUCAUGAAGGGCUGCUGCUCUCUGGUUCCUUCCCUUGCAGUUUUGAAGCAUUCAUAUCUUCAGAUGAGUGAUGGCUCCCUGCAUCUUAAUCCUCUUGUUGGUUAG